ACUAAUUUAUAGUGCUUUUGUCCUGUCCGGGACUCUUUAUUAUUAAUUUUCUUUUUAUUAUUCAUCAGGAAUCCGUCAAAGGGACGAGAUCGACUAAUGAAUAGAUAUUACCCAAAUCCUGAUUACCCACUUUUCUUAAUGCACACCACUUAAACAAUCUAUACUCAUACAUAUAUACAUAUAUAUAUAUAUGUGUGUGUGUAUAUAUAUAUAUAUAUAUAUAUAUAUAUGUAAUGUUUAUGCAAGUGUGUGUGUGUGUGUGAAGGGGAGGUGGAAAUAUACUCCGUGCCGUGCGAUGUUCCCAUGGCAAAAGAUAGUUUUAAUGACAAUUUUUUAAACACAUUUACCGCCCAUUUUUCUCGAUCGACAUCGAUAUGUCUUGUUAUACUAUGAAACACGCCAGAGGGCGCGGAAGAGAGACAGGCACAUUAUACACUAUAUACAGUAUAUAUGAUGCUGAAAUUGCUAAACUGAACGUAUUAUAUCAUCAAAAUUGAGUACACACACACACACACAUAUAUAUAUACAUAUAUGUACAUACAUAUACACAUAUCUAUACCCAUAUAUAUAUAUAUAUAUAUAUACACAAAUAUAUAUAUUAUUUUACUAUAUAGAUAUAGAUAUAUCUUAUAUCUAUAUCUGUAUCUAUCUAUCUAUCUAGGGAGAAUUCACAAAAGAAAAAACAAAAGACGAAAACAGGUGGUGUAGAAAACAAACAGGCACAAGACCCGAAAUUUUUGGGGAGGGCGCCAGUCGGUUAGAUCGACCCCAGUACGCAACUGGUAUUUAAUUUAUCGACUCCGAAAUGAUGAAAGACAAAGUUGACCUCGGCGGAAUUUGAACUCAGAACGUAAAGACAGACGAACUGCUAGCUCGCUACCUUUGAAAUUAAAAUAGUAAUUACAUUCAAUUAAUAAAGCUGAUACUAAACUGUAAACACA